CUAGCUUCUCAAGCAGGGGCAUCUAGAGCCAGUUGUCCAGGACAACAUACAGACCCUGCUGUUUUUCAUUUUGUGCCCAUUGCCUCUUGUCCUGCCACCAGGCAUUCCCAAAAAGAGCCUGGUUCCAUCUUUGCACCAUCCUUUCAGGAGAAGACCUUGUAUUCUGAUUCCACGAGGCAAAGUACUUUUUCACCACUCUUCUGCAGUACUUCAGAUGUCAAGAAUUGGAAGGCAGAGGUGAAGCUUAGUGAGACAUCUGAAACACUACAUCCAGUUUUGAUAACCCAUUGUGAGGAGGACACCAAUAAACUUGGACCAGUUCAGCU